UACACUUUAGUAUAAGAGGUACAGAAACUUUUGAUGUUUCUAGGGAAAGUUUAAUUCUUUCAAGUGUAA
rnacentral:tRNA from 1 species